CCUACGGGUGGCUGCAGUCGAGAAUCAUUCACAAUGGGGGAAACCCUGAUGGUGCGACGCCGCGUGGGGGAAUGAAGGUCUUCGGAUUGUAAACCUCUGUCAUGUGGGAGUAAAGUAAAAGAUAGUACCACAAGAGGAAGAGACGGCUAACUCUGUGUCAGCAGCCGCGGUAAUACAGAGGUCUCACGCGGUGUUCGGAAUCACUGGGCGUAAAGUGUGCGUAGGCUGUUUCGUAAGUCGUGUGUGAAUGGCGCCGGCUCAACCCGCGGACGGCACAUGAUACUGCGAGACUAGAGGAAAGGAGGGGGAACCGGAAUUCUCGGUGUAGCAGUGAAAUGCGUAGAUAUCGAGAGGAACACUCGUGGCGAAGGCAGGUUCCUGGACAUUAACUGACGCUGAGGCACGAAGGCCAGGGGAGCGAAAGGGAUUAGAUACCCGGGUAGUC
rnacentral:rRNA from 1 species